UCAGGAUGAACGCUAGCGUACAGGCUUAACACAUGCAAGUCGAGGGGCAGCAUUGGGAUAGCUGCUAUUCAGAUGGCGACCGGCGCACGGGUGAGUAACGCGUAUCCAACCUUCCUGCCAGUAGGGAACAGCCCGGCGAAAGUCGGAUUAAUGCCCUAUGUUCUUCAAUGCGGACAUCUAAGUUGAAGGAAAGAUUCAUCGCUGGCAGAUGGGGAUGCGUCCGAUUAGCUUGCCGGCGGGGUAACGGCCCACCGGGGCGACGAUCGGUAGGGGUUCUGAGAGGAAGGUCCCCCACACUGGUACUGAGACACGGACCAGACUCCUACGGGAGGCAGCAGUGAGGAAUAUUGGUCAAUGGGCGUAAGCCUGAACCAGCCAAGUAGCAUGCAAGGGAUGACGGCCCUACGGGUUGUAAACUGCUUUUAUGCGGGGAUAAAGUGCGGCACGUGUGCCGCUUUGCAGGUACCGCAUGAAUAAGGACCGGCUAAUUCCGUGCCAGCAGCCGC
rnacentral:rRNA from 1 species